rnacentral:misc_RNA from 1 species
UGUCAUCUGUUGCAGCUGGUAAGGUUUCUAUAUUAUGAUAUUUCAAAAUUAUUUAUAUGGCAAAGUAAUUGCAAGAGUAAGUUUUUUGUUCAUUACAUUUUUUUUUUUUUUUUUGAAGUAUCAUCUAUAGCUGCUCUAUCUGGUAAGGUUUUUUUAUUUUAACUUUUUAAUAUAUUUUUAAUAUUUAAAUUUUAAUAAUAACUUCAAGAUUGGUAUGUGUAUUAUAUGCUUCCAUAUUUUAAAGUUAUUUAAAAAUUGUAUUUUUUUACUUUGUAACAUGAUUUAAUUAAAAAAAUCAUGCAAUAUAUUUUAUACUAAUCCAACUGGUAAGUUUAUUUAUUUUAACUUUGUAAUAAGACUUUCAUAGCAAGGUAAUUAUAAAAAUAAUAAAUUAUUAUGAUUUUUUUUUUUUAGUACCACCAUUAUCUGUUUCAGCUGUGCCAUCAUCAUCUACUCCAACUGUGCCAUCAUCAUCUACUCCAACUGGUUAGUGUAUAUGUUUCAACUCUGCAAUAUGAGUUUAAAUAAAAUUUAUUUUUAAGAUUAUGUAUAAUGCUUUGUUAUUUCUUUUUAAGUGACAUCUUCAUCUGUUCCAACUGGUAGGGUUUACUAUGUAGUAUGAUUUUAA